AUGACGCUAAAGAAUUAUUUCCGUGGGCAAAAUGAUCUAUACCUGCUACAAAUUGACACUGCCAAGAUUGCAGAUGGCUUGAUUUAUGAGGCAACUGAUGGUCGUAACUACUUUCCUCAUUUCUAUGGUCCUGAUCGGAGCUUUGCACCCCUUCAACUAAGUAUUGUUGUCAAGGCAGACAAAAUAGAGCUAGCGAACCAUGAUUUUACUUGCAGUCUAUUUGAUGGAGCGGCCAUCUAA
rnacentral:rRNA from 1 species